GCGCGCCUGAGGGCGAGGGCACAGUAAGGCGCAGGCGGGGCCGAGCCCCGCACCGACACCUCACCCGGGCUGAGGCGUCCCCCAGGCCCGGCCCCCGCUCCGUGCCCACUCACCCAGCCCAGGGACCGUCUCCGGGGACCUGCGGGCCGUCGCAGGAUCUUUGGCACCAAUAGCAUUCCUUGAUCUAAGGAUGAUCUUUGAUCUAUGAUGUAUAUGUGAAAGACCAGCACAGAGACAGCACUAGAGCCUGGAGACCCAGCUGACAGACUCUUAGAGAAACACAGACAAUAAACACUUGAAUCCAGAGAUAAGAGGUGCUGGAAGGCUAUCCUGCAUUCUCAGUUGCACUUGUGACACUGAAUCCUCUGACCAUUCCUUGAAGAAGACAAAGUGGACCUUACCUUGCCUCCUGCAGGACUGCGGACAGCAAAGCAGAAAAGGGUGGAGGGUUUGGCAUUCUCCUCCAUUUUGAACUCUGCAAAAGCUGCAGCAUGACCUUCUAUGGGCUGUGAGACCUUCCUCUCCACAGAGUAGAGCUGCAUUGCCCCAACCACACGGUUUUGCUAUAAAAAGAUAUUUUGUGAUUAAUGGAAAAGAAACAAUUCUUAAAACAUGAUAACAACAACAACAAAAACAAAAACACAUGAUAACUGAGUUUGAUGUGGAAAUAUGGCUGGGUAUGCUGGCGCAUGUCUAUAAUCCCAACAUUUGGGAGGCUGAAGGAGGAGGAUCACCAUGAAUUUUGAGGCCAGCAUGGGGUACAUAGUAAGUUCAAGGUUAGCCUCAACUACAUGGUAAGACACUGCCUCUAAAAAAGAAAAUAUGGUUACACAUAAACAAUACAACAGAAUGGUAAGACACGUGAUCCUACUUUGUUAAAUAUAAUCUUUGUGUAUUUUAUCACAGAAAAUAAGUCUUGGUGAGCCAGGGAUAUAGCUUAGCAGCAAAGCAUCUGUCUAGCAAAUGCAAGGUUAUGAGUCUGAUCCUUGGUACCAAAGAAAAGAAAAAGAAAAUGUCUUGGGAGGAAAGACUCCAAAAUGUCAACAGUAGUUCAAUUAGGAAAAUGAGGGGUUGGGGAUUUAGCUCAGCAGCAUAAGCGCCUGCCUUGCAAGCAGGCAGUCGUGAGUUCAAUCCCUGGUACCGAUAAAAAGGAAAAAAAAAAAAAAAAAAAAGGAAAAUGAGUUACAGGAUAAUUUCAAAAACUGCUUGUCCAUAACAUAUAUUCAAUUUAAUAAAAAUACAAAUAUUCAAUUUAAUAAAAAACAGAUUUUUAAAUAAAAUUCAAAUUUAUAUUUUCUAGCAAAGAAUUCCAGUACAUUAAUCUCAAUGUCAAAUGCUCAAACUGUGGAAUAAAUGGAACAUGAAACCAUCAUAAUCAAGCUCCUAUAACUCAACAUUCAAACUUUAUCUCUGUCAACCAGACCCCUAAGUAGUCUGUGCGUAAAAUUCGUAUCCUUUGUAUUUCCCACCUACUCAUAUUUCCUUAAAGUAGAAAAACAUGACUUCUUUCUUUCCUUAAAAAAAUAUUUUGUUUCAAUCUUAGUACUUGUGAGGUUGAGCAAAAGCAGCACAAGCUGGAGACCAGUGUACAACAAGAGUCUGAGGCUGCUUAGGGCUACAGUAAGACCUUGUUUCAAAAAACUGAAAUCUAGAGUGUCAAGUCCUGCAUUAAAUUUCCAGUACCACCCAAACAAAACAAAACUCUUCUAGUAUAUAGUGCUACCCUAUUAUACAGACUUAUGAAUACACUAAAGUCAUUAGGCAAAGGAAAGAAAUCAGUCACAGAAGACCACAUAUUGUCUGACUCUACCUAUGACAAACCCAGAAGAGGGAAAUCUAUAGGGUGAGAAAGUAGAUUAAUGGUUGCCACAUGGUAAGAUUAGGGAGAAAUGAGUAAUUUGCAGGUAAGUGGUAUGCACUAUAAUUGAAGAAUGAACAAGAGUAUUUUAUUUUAGUUUUGGUUUUUUUGAGAUAGGGUAUCUCUAUGUAAUUCAGGCUAGUUUGAACUUCGCAGCAAUCCUCCUACCUCAGCCUCUCAAGUGCUGGGAUUACAGGCAUAUGCCAACACAUUCAGUGAACAAGGAUAUUUAAAAAUAAGAUUCAUAAGCACAAGACUUGUGCUCCCUUAAAGACUGUGAGAAAAUUUUCAGUACUAUUUGCUAAACUGAAGCCAAGAGAACAGCAGAGCAGUGAACACCUACAUUCAAGGCGGCAGACCUGACUCCAGCUGACUGGUACUCUUGGUUCACAGGCCACAUGAAGGCCUCAGCCAGUGAUCUGCUUCUAAGACCUCAGUUUCUGUGAAGUUCAUCUUAUGGGGCGUCUGGCAAUCAAAGGCAUCAUCAAAGCUGGUAAAGACAUGUUGAAGAUCAUAGCAAGCAAGGUUUCAAACGCACGUUUCUUUAGUUAGGCACUGCACUUGGAACUAAGGAUAAACAAAAUGAUAGAAAACAGAGUCUUCCCUUCAGGACAGAUGGUGAGAGUUUCUGGCAAGCAAGCAAACUGGAAAGAGACUGUUACCUCACCCAGACGGACACGCAAGGGAGGCCCUACUCAAGUGAGUGACACCUAUCCUGGAGCAAAAGCUAAACAAGUGAGUGGCAAAGAGGCUGCUUAAAACAGAAGCCUAAGGGCUGGGGAUAGAGCUCAGUGGUACAAGCACAGGCCUGGCAAGCACAAGGUUGUGAGUUUGAUCCCCAGCACACACAAAAAAGAAUAAAACAGAACUUACUAGAGGAAGAAAGGAGGAAGUAGGAAGGAGGGAGGAGGGAGGGAAAUUCAAAAAAAGAAAUGAGUUGUCUUACAUAUGUACAUGUACCCACCCCCUAAGAUGACUAUAAACUGCAUGCCCUGUAAUUUUGUACUAAAAAAAGAAAGAAAAAACCUUAGAGAGGGACUGACAAACUAUGGCCUUAUGUUCUCCUUUUUUAUACUGAGGUGAAAUUCACAUAAUGAAAUCAACCAUUUACCAGCAUCAAUUCACUAGCAUUUAGUACAGUAUUGUGCAGUCAACCUUUACUUGGUCUUAAAACACUUUCAUCACCCAAAUGACAUUCUUUUUUUUUUUAAUUUAAGGAGAAAAAAGAAAAAAAAACAGAAAAAAGGUACAAGUUGUACAGAAUUUCGGAAAAAAUAAACAGUAGGAAAUCACUAAUUACAUAUUGUCAUCUUAGAAAUACUUGUUCAAGUUCCAAAUGACAUUCUUGUGCCCAAUAAAGGGCUCCCAUAGUUGCUGCCAACCAUACCUAGUUUAUAUAAACUAUAUCAUAUAGUCUUCUGUCUCUUUCACUUACCUGAAUAGUUCAUAUAAUUAAAUCAUAAAAUAUAGACUUCUGUCUCAUUUCUUUUGCUUAGGUUUCUCCAUGUCAUAGCAUGUAUCAGGGCUUCAUUCCUAAGAGUGUGUGCGUACACCACGUUUUGUUCAUCUAUUCAUCCAUUAUUGAACAUCUGGGUACAUAUUUCCAACAUCUGGCUAUCAUGAAUAGCACUGCCAUUAACAUUAGGUAUAAAAGUUUUUGUCUGAGCACAUUUUAAUUUCUCUCUUUCUCCCUUCUCUUUCUCAGAUACAUGAAAGUAGAUCCACCAAAUUGUUGCCCACAGUGGCCAAACCAUUUUACAUUCCUAACACUACAGUGUAAGGGCUCUAAUUUUUCCAUAUUCUUGCCAACACUUGUGAACUUUAUUAUAUAGGUUUUUUUUUCUUUUUGAGAUGCUGUGAAACUCAGGCUAGCAGCCUUGAGCUUGCAAUGAUCUUCCUGCCUCAGCCUCCCAAGUGCUGGAAUUAUAUGCAUGCACCUCCAUGCCUGGCUUAUUAUAACCAUCCUGGUUGGUGUGAAAUGACAUCCCACUGUAGUUUUGAUUUGUAUUUCCCUAAUGACUAAUGUAAUGAUUUGGAGGCUUAAUGCCCAACAUUAUUAGAACUGGGGCCUAGAGAGGUGACUGAUUAUGACAACACUAAUCUCAUCAACACACUGAUCCAGUGAUGAUUUUCUAGCAGAAUGGAUUAUUAGGUGGAAGAAGUAGGUCAUGGGGGUGUGGCUUUGAAGGGUACAUCGUGUCAAAAAUGAACUGAUAGGGGCUGGGGAUUUAGCUCAGCGGCAUAAGCACCUGCCUAGUUCGAUUCCCAAUACCAAAAAAAAAAAAAAAAGAAUUGAUAAUAGAUACAUGGAUUUAUUCUUGAACUGAUUCUUUUCUAUUAAUCUAAAUAUCAUUAUAUGGAAGAGAGUUCAAACAUUAGAACUUUAUCUCUUGGCUUUUAGUUUACUGUUAAAGAACAAAUGAGCAGAUUUGCUAUUUAGUCUUAUAUUUUUCAAAUAUUAUUUCCUUGUAGACAAGUAUGACUCCAGAGGGUAUUUUAAACAGCAUUAUUCAUAUAGAAAUCACAUACCAAAUAGCUCAUUCACUUAAACACAGUAUCGUUCAGGGGCUGGGGAUUUAGCUCAGCAGGCAUAAGAGCCUGCCUUGCAAGUAGGCAGUCGUGAGUUCGAUCCUCAGUACUGAUUAAAAGGAAAAAGACAACAAAACAAAACAAAACACACCAUCGUUCAAUGUUUUUAAUAUACUCACAGCAGAGAAACCAAUGUAAUUUUAGGAUACUUUUAUUUCUUUAAAAUGAGCUUCAUUAGCAAUCUUCAUUCUCACUUCUCACAUUCUAAGUUCUAAGCAAUUUUCUGCUCUAGAUUUUAAUUUCUCAUAAAUUGAAUCAAACAAUAGUCUUUUGUGACUUUAAUAUUCCCAAGCCUCACUCAUAUUAUGUAUGCACUUUUUGUGAAAAACUAUCUCAUGUACAGAUAUCAUUUUAUCUACUUUUCAGCUGAUGGACAUUUAAAUUGUUUGUUUUUCUACUACUAUAAAUCAUGUUUAUAUGCACACUUGUGUAUGUUUGUAGUUAUCACUUUUAGCUUAAAGUCUAUUUUGUUUGUAUACUAAUAGACAAUGUACUGGGAAUCAAACUCAGAACCUUGAGCUUGCCAGGCAGGUUCUGUAUCACUGCACUCUACCUCUGGCCUGCCAAUCCACACUUUACGGUUUAGUAUGCAUGUCUUAACUGUAUCCUUCCACUAUCAAUGUAUUUUUAUCCUUCAACAUAAAAUGUCUCCUGUAUACAGCACAGAUUGGAGACAUGUCACCCACUGACAACUGCUGCCUUUUUACUGGUACAUUUAAUUCAUUUCAAAUAGUUACUGACAAAGUAAGAUUUCUGCUGAGUCAAGAUAGAGGGGUAUUGGGGAUUAAACCCAGGGCCUUCACAGUGAGCUACAUCUUUAGCCUUCUCUUUUUUAAAAAUUUUGAGACAGGGUUCCACUAGAUCACUGAGUUGCCACGGGCAGGUUCAGAUUUGCAGAUCCUCUUGCAUUAGCCUCUGAGAGAGCUGGGAUUAGAGGCAUGUGCCACCACGCCCAGUUAAAUUCUGCUGUUUUAUGUAUAUCAUUUUUGUUCAUUUCUUCAUUGCCAUCUAAACAGCCAUUUUCUGGAGUGUUAUUUCAAUUUUCUUAUUUCUUUUAGCAUUUUUGGGGGGUGGGGGAAGUGCUUUCUUUGGGUCUUUUCUCUUUUGCUAGAGGUUUUUGUGAGGACAAAACAAUAAAGAAAAAUAAGCAGCUGAAAAAUUCAAGUACUCAGCUCUAGACAUGCAUAAUCUAAAACUCCAGACAUACAUACAAAAUCUAAAAGUUUCUACUGUGUCCUCAAAGGGAAUCUUCUUUCCUAAAGAAGCUAAAGCCAUGGGGCUAAAAGUGUAGAAACCCAAAUAAAUAUAGGUCUCUCUAAUUUGACUGGCUGAAAUACAGUGUAAGUUUAAUGCCCAGCCUUGAAAGGUAUCUGAAAUAAAGGUGAGGGCAUUGCCGGGAAAAAAAUAGCGAGGGUAACUUGCCUAUCAAUGCAGAAUGGAUAAGAAAUGGUAUUUUUAUGCAGCAGAAAGCUACCCAGCUAUAAAGGAGAAUAACCUCAAGGCUUCUGUAGAUAAGUGGAUGCAACUGGAGAUCAUGUCCAUGGCUGAAGCAGUUCAAACUCACAUGGGUGACCCUACCAUAAGAAACAGAAGGAAUUAAUGGGAUCCAAAAGCAAAAUAGUUCAUGUAACAGCAAAGGGAGGAAACACCUGGGAAGGAAAGGUGGAAACCACUGUCAAUUUCUUAUUGUCUUAUCUUGAACUCUUGCAUUGUUUAUACAACUUUAUUAGGCUUGGCUCUGUUCUGCCUUGUUUUGUUAGAUUUUAUGCUGUCAGAUGGUAGAGGCAGCUAUUUUGAAUAUAAUAGGAUAUAUUAUGGUAAUCAUGGUUUCCUAUUAUAUUGCUUUAAAGCAAUUA